rnacentral:lncRNA from 1 species
GGAGUAAGGAAAAGAGCUCCCGGGACACCCUGAGUCAAGCCUUGGACAGACUGGAGUGCACAUUUUAGGGGCCCUAGGAGCCUCCCUAGGCAUGACUUCCAAAUUGAAAAAAAAAAAAAAAAAAAAAAAACCUGUGAAAGAAAAUUUUGCUUUGAAAAAUGAUGCAAAGUCGAUAUACCGAAAUGAAAUGAGCUUCCUUCCUAAUAGUCUGACUCUCUCUUUCUUUUUGUCCUUGGUGCCCUCAGCAGCCCCCCAUCCUGUAUCUUUUGGAGAAGCCAGCGCCAACUUCUGGAGCUUUUCCCUGGACCUCUCGAGGUCCAGUCUUGCUGUCGUCCAGCUCUACGGGAAGGCACACCAGGAGGAGGUGGAACAGAAGUUAAACAAGCCAGUGGACAGCACAGGGACAAAAUGUCUGGAAGUGGUACAGGUUACCUGGUGCGGAGAGAUCCAGUCAAGC